UGAGAACUGCCUUCUUUUUGUUUGGUUCCUUUAAAAAAAUAUUUUUUUACUUAUUUAUUUGCUGUUCUGGGUCUUCAUUGCUGUGCUCGGACUUUCUCUCUCAUGGCUAUUUCCAGACAUUUCCUGUUAAGAAGAGUACUAUAAAUAUUCUUGUACAUAAAUUCCCAUUGUCCCUAUAUACCAAUUUGGAUAUAAACCUGGGAGUGGAAAGCCUUGUCAUAGGAAACCAUACUUAACUGACUCCAACUCUGAAGGCGGUGUAACAUGCUGGUUCAUUAUAAGGAUCAGUUAUCAAGCUUCUAUUUUGAGUUCCAAAAGCUAAAUCCCAAAAUUGACUUCAAGCUACAGAAUGAAAGGUUGAGAAAAGUUCAACUUGGAGACAACAGACCAUCUUACUACUGUUCAUGAGAGAUUCCUGCACAAGUUGAUCAGGAAGGUAUCAAUUCUCCAUGGGCCUGGAAUCAGGGCAAGCAGCCUUGGAAAUUUCAGCUGACUCUCACCAGGAAGGACACAAGCACAGCAUUUGGGUAACACAUUUAGCAAACUGAUAGGGCACUGAUUAGAAGGCAAUAAACUCCCUUCGUUGUACUAGCCAGUGGGUUCAGACUGGUGAGGAGGUGGCCUUGAACCCUAUCCUUUGGAGAAGACCACAGUCUCAGGGGAAAAGUCUUUAAUUAUUUUUUUCUGAGGCUUUAAAUAAACUAAAUUCUAUGAGAAGACAUGCUCAAAAUCCAACCAGAGAGGCGCCUGUAAUCUGCAAGUUUUCAGACAUUUGUUCUGAGGUCGAAGAGCUGCAAAAAAGAAAGGUGUCAGUCUCGAUUUGAGCUUCCGUGUUUGUAAACUCAGCCAGUUCAUGCCUGGUUGGUUAUGUCCUCGGGUCUUCCCUCAUUCGUGGUGGUAACUGCCAAAUCCUGGGCCUCCCACAAAGAUGUGAGGCUUCUGGAGGACAUAAUAAAUUUAUAUAAGAUUUGAAGUUGAUAAAUCCUUAAGUGACCUCUUCUAAAUUCUCUUCAUCCACGAUCUCAUCAAUUUAGCCAAAGUUUUGUGGUCGUUUCCCUCAUGCCAACAAACCAGUCAUGCGUGGGGACAAACUGCAUCCCCUACCAACUCGAAACAGAACUUCUCAUUCACUCUGUACCUAAGUAUGAGUCCCUAGUCUGUCCCAGGUACUCGUCUAGGUCCUGGGGAAGCAGCAGUGUACGAACUGAGGCUUUAACCCCCAUGGAGCGUCCCUUCAAGUUUUAGUCAACAAUUCACUGUGGAGACCAGAGAGAAGCAGAACAUAUAUUGAGGGACUAGACAUAGUUUUAAAACACCAGAGAUGAUGUUUAAAUGACCUUCCUUCAGCAAAAUUCACCUAGAAGAUAAGGUCUUUCUCUAAGGACUUUCAGAAAGCCUCUUUCUGCAUCUUGUUCUUCUUAACAAGUUCAGUUAUUGGCCCAGAUAGGCCCCAGUGCAGCCUGGGAAAGGCAAACCAGAGGAAGACAUUAUAUUGACCCCAAAUCUUCAUUCUUAAGUUAGACAAGUAGAGAUGGAUUCAUGAUAAUAUAAUGCUGAGACCAACUAUGUGAUUAAAAUUUUCCCUCAGAGAAUCCUCAUUUUCAGAUUCUCUUCAUUAAUAGAUUUUCUACAGAGGAGGAAUUUUAGCUGCAGAAGUUGCCAAUAAGCAAGACAUUUCCCAGGGAGAGUUUUACAUGCGCCUUGUAAACACCAGGACUUGUUGAUGGGUAAGUCAUGAGAAAUCUGAAUCAGAGCAUCAAGAGUCCAGAUAAAAGUUUCCAGCUAGUUAGUGGCUAACCAUGCAAGUGGAGUAGAGAGAUCAGAUAAGAUAAAUCAUGGAAAGCACUUUUUGGACUUUAGCCAGAAGUUCGCUUAUGACAUAGGAAAGAAUAGUUUCAGCCAAGAGGUGGAGAAAAGGCCUGGAUGCUAUGAGUGGAGGGGGAAGCCGAUAAUGAGGCAGGCGGAGAGGGAGUAGACUCCAUGAAGCGUGACGGCACUCACCUCCUAAUUUAUGUCCUUGCUUCUCCUCCAUCCUGCACACCUACACACUUGCUUCUAAAAUGUACACACUCAGGCCCAUAAUCCUUCAAUAGCACCCUUAUAACCUGCACAAUAAAUGUCAAACUUAGCAUAGAACACCCCUUCCUAGCCUGAACCUGGCUUACAGUUAUUUACAUAACUGCCAGUCUUUGUCACUGGGUUAUUCUCUGACAGACUUGCCCCUUAAAGGAAUGCACCAUCUCUUAUUUGGCAAUUUACGUCUCCCUGCCUCUAUCC
ensembl:lncRNA